rnacentral:lncRNA from 1 species
UUUUUCAUGUGGUCUUGUAUUGGUUAGCUCUAGCUUUUUUAUUGGGAUCUUCAGUUUGCUUUUUUCCUUAUAGUUGAUUGUGUGUGCGGGUGAAGUUUUCUUGCUUGGGAGUUUUCUUUCUUGUAUUUUUUGUUUUGUUUCUUUUGUUGGGUGUUUUGUAGUACUUGUGCCUUUUCCCGAGACUCUCUUGAACUAUUGAUAUUUGUGUCUCUCUUUUAUUUAUUUCAUUGAUCUGUUUGCCUUUUUAAAAAAAUUAUUAUGUUGUUU